AAUUUGGGGAUCUUGCCACACCUAAAACCCAAGCCAAAAGCCCUACCUCUCUCUCUCUGGAUUCAAUCUGAUCUUCUCUCUAUAGUCACCAUGGCCGCCUUCGCCGCCAGAUCAGCUUUUCGCUCCGCCGCGCGUAGCGCCACCGCAAGAAUAUCCGCCGGCGUCAAGCCUAGGUCAGCUCCAUCUCCAUUUCGCAUCUCAUCUCAGACUCCGCUCUCCGCUCGCAUUUUCAGGUCUCCCGUUGAGAUGAGCUGUGUUAGCGUAAUGUCUAUGUUGCCGUACCACACUGCAACCGCCUCCGCCGUGCUCACUUCUAUGCUAUCCGCGGCGCCUCGCGGUCACGGUUGGAGCAUUGAGGAUACCAACGAUGAUGUAUGAUGACUGUUGGAUUGUUCGAGCGAAGUUUUAUUUUCAUGAGCAAUAGGAGAUUGUCUGAUAGGGUUAUGAUUACUGCUCAUUGGCUGAUUUUAGGCUUGAAGGUUUUCUGAUUCUCUUGUGUUUGUUUAAGCUGAUUAUGUAUGAGCCUCUGAUGAUGACUGGCACUCUAAACCUCAGUCUGCAUUGUUUUUUUUUCCUUGAUUUGUAGCAGCAAAUGGCUGAACUAGUUUUUAUUUAUUUCCAGAGCCUUCCUUAAGAAAUAUUUCUUGUUGCCUGUGUUGUAGAUGGAUGAUUGUUAGAAUGUGUUGAGAAGCGCUGCCUUUCGUGAUUGGUGUGAAUGGACAUGUAAAACUACUACGAGAUCAUUCAGCUUCAUCAUUAAAAGUUAUUCUUUUAUAA